rnacentral:rRNA from 1 species
UUGAACGCUGGCGGCAUGCUUUACACAUGCAAGUCGAACGGCAGCGCGGGCUUCGGCCUGGCGGCGAGUGGCGAACGGGUGAGUAAUAUAUCGGAACGUACCCAGGAGUGGGGGAUAACGUAGCGAAAGUUACGCUAAUACCGCAUACGACCUACGGGUGAUGAAAGUGGGGGAUCGCAAGACCUCAUGCUCAUGGAGCGGCCGAUAUCUGAUUAGCUAGUUGGUGGGGGUAAAGGCUCACCAAGGCAACGAUCAGUAGCUGGUCUGAGAGGACGACCAGCCACACUGGAACUGAGACACGGUCCAGACUCCUACGGGAGGCAGCAGUGGGGAAUUUUGGACAAUGGGGGCAACCCUGAUCCAGCAAUGCCGCGUGAGUGAAGAAGGCCUUCGGGUUGUAAAGCUCUUUUGUCAGGGAAGAAACGGCUCGGGUUAAUACCCUGGGCUAAUGACGGUACCUGAAGAAUAAGCACCGGCUAACUACGUGCCAGCAGCCGCGGUAAUACGUAGGGUGCAAGCGUUAAUCGGAAUUACUGGGCGUAAAGCGUGCGCAGGCGGUUUUGUAAGACUGUCGUGAAAUCCCCGGGCUUAACCUGGGAAUGGCGAUGGUGACUGCAAGGCUAGAGUUUGGCAGAGGGGGGUGUAGAAUUCCACGUGUAGCAGUGAAAUGCGUAGAGAUGUGGAGGAACACCGAUGGCGAAGGCAGCCCCCUGGGUCAAAACUGACGCUCAUGCACGAAAGCGUGGGGAGCAAACAGGAUUAGAUACCCUGGUAGUCCACGCCCUAAACGAUGUCUACUAGUUGUCGGGUCUUAAUUGACUUGGUAACGCAGCUAACGCGUGAAGUAGACCGCCUGGGGAGUACGGUCGCAAGAUUAAAACUCAAAGGAAUUGACGGGGACCCGCACAAGCGGUGGAUGAUGUGGAUUAAUUCGAUGCAACGCGAAAAACCUUACCUACCCUUGACAUGGAAGGAAUCCUUGAGAGAUCGAGGAGUGCCCGAAAGGGAACCUUUACACAGGUGCUGCAUGGCCGUCGUCAGCUCGUGUCGUGAGAUGUUGGGUUAAGUCCCGCAACGAGCGCAACCCUUGUCAUUAGUUGCUACGAAAGGGCACUCUAAUGAGACUGCCGGUGACAAACCGGAGGAAGGUGGGGAUGACGUCAAGUCCUCAUGGCCCUUAUGGGUAGGGCUUCACACGUCAUACAAUGGUACAUACAGGGGGCCGCCAACCCGCGAGGGGGAGCUAAUCCCAGAAAGUGUAUCGUAGUCCGGAUUGUAGUCUGCAACUCGACUACAUGAAGUUGGAAUCGCUAGUAAUCGCGGAUCAGCAUGUCGCGGUGAAUACGUUCCCGGGUCUUGUACACACCGCCCGUCACACCAUGGGAGCGGGUUUUACCAGAAGUAGGUAGCUUAACCGCAAGGAGGGCGCUUACCACGGUAGGAUUCGUGACUGGGGUG